rnacentral:lncRNA from 1 species
AUGUCCUGGGGUCCCCACCAGCACAGACCCUUCCCUGGGGGGGACAGCCACCACCACCAGCCCCCCAGGGCCUCUGCUCCCUGUGCAGCCCUGGCACAGCCCCCGCUGCUGGCCCCGCUUCCCUCCCCAGGGCACCAAACAGGCAGCAGGGCUGCCUGGGCAACCCUCACCUGGGGACGCAGCCUGGGGACCCCGCUGCUCCCUGGGGCUGUCUCACCCUUUCCCGGCACCAAAUUCUCUUUGCUAAAUCUAGCUCCUGCUGGUGCAAUUUCCCCUUUCACUCUCCCACCGGUUCCCGCACACAAAGGACCCCGGACAGACCUAUCCCUCCCCGGUGUGCUCAUCACCACCGUAUCCAAGCCUCCAACCCCACCAGGACCCAAAUCCCAACUCCCUGCCCCGCUCUGGAGGGCAGCCACCAUCUGUGCAGCCACCCCCUUGCACCCGGCUGCUCCGAGCACCUGCAAGCACCACUGCCCAGCCCUGUUUGCUCAGCUGGGGCCGGCCAGCAUGCGACAGGCACGGGGACACGGCAGUGCAAGUGGCCGUACUGACCUGCUCCUCCACAGCACCCGGCACCGCCGUCCUCCCCGGGGAGCCUCAGCCUCGCUGCUCCCACCUCUCCAAGUCCCCCGGGAGCUGGCGGUGUGCGCAGAGGUGUGGACGUGCCUGCAAGGCGUCCCCAACGCCGCCACUCCCUCGCACGAGGAAAGGAAUUUCUUCCCAGAGAGGCUUAUCACCUCGGGAACCUCCGCUUCCCAGCAGAGCCUCCGGAGCGGAGGUCAGCGGGGCAACAGGGCGCUGCCUCCCCAGGGGAAGCCUCGCCGGGAAACGAGCGCCGGGGAGGCCACCACGUCUGGGCUCCGUCCCUCUCCACGCGUGUCCACCCCGUGCCGUGCCACCACCGGUCCCUCCCGGCUCUCACCUGUCCCCUGCUCGGGCGUCGUGUCCUUGAGGCUGGGGACUUCCCGUCCUUGCUGCCCAGGGACAGGCUCAGCAGCCCGGGGAGCAGCUCGGGAACUCGCUGCUUUUCGGACAAACUGCGAGUGCAGACACACAGGAUAA